rnacentral:rRNA from 1 species
UUGAACGCUGGCGGCAGGCCUAACACAUGCAAGUCGAACGGUAACAGGAAGAAGCUUGCUUCUUUGCUGACGAGUGGCGGACGGGUGAGUAAUGUCUGGGAAACUGCCUGAUGGAGGGGGAUAACUACUGGAAACGGUAGCUAAUACCGCAUAACGUCGCAAGACCAAAGAGGGGGACCUUCGGGCCUCUUGCCAUCGGAUGUGCCCAGAUGGGAUUAGCUAGUAGGUGGGGUAACGGCUCACCUAGGCGACGAUCCCUAGCUGGUCUGAGAGGAUGACCAGCCACACUGGAACUGAGACACGGUCCAGACUCCUACGGGAGGCAGCAGUGGGGAAUAUUGCACAAUGGGCGCAAGCCUGAUGCAGCCAUGCCGCGUGUAUGAAGAAGGCCUUCGGGUUGUAUAGUACUUUCAGCGGGGAGGAAGGGAGUAAAGUUAAUACCUUUGCUCAUUGACGUUACCCGCAGAAGAAGCACCGGCUAACUCCGUG